ACAAGACCAAGAGCCUUCAAAGCCCUNAGUAAGUAAAAANACUUAAUUUCUG
rnacentral:tRNA from 1 species